rnacentral:tRNA from 1 species
UCCUUUUUGGUCUAGUGGUUAGGACUCUGCACUUUCACUGCCAAGAGCCCGGGUUCAAUCCCCGGUUGGUGAA